AUGCGAUGGUACAAGACUUUCUUCUAUCAUUUCGUCGACAUUGCUGUUGUGAAUGCAUUCAUCCUACACAAGGAAAUGGCUAAGAGAUGUGGAAAGCCCUUCCUCACACAGAAAGCCUUCAGAGAGCAGCUCAUCAAGGAGCUUGCUGGCUACAGCACCACUGCACCAAGCCCUGUUCCUUCUGCACCUGCCACAAUGUUCAGCUUGCUCAAUGACUGGGAGGUUUUUGUACCAGCAGUAAUUGGGGUUGUAUCACUGUGGUCCACUUUUGGUAGCGGCACCAGACUUGAUGUUGGAAGUAACAGUUCCCCCACCCUCACCGUCCUGCCCCCCUCUAGUGAGGAGCUGUCCAGUAAAACAACAGCCACACUGACAUGUCUGGCCAACAAGGGCUUUCCCUCAGACUGGACCAUGAACUGGAAAGUGGACGGCAACAGCAAGAAGCAGGAGGCCAGUCACAAAGUCCUGGAGAAGGACGGUCUGUACAGCUGGAGCAGCACCCUGACUCUCACUGCCCAGGAGUGGACCAAGGCAGGAGAGGUGACCUGUGAGGCCCACCAGAGCUCCCAGCCUCCAGUCACCCAGAUCCUGAGGAGGGCUGACUGUUCUGGGUAG